rnacentral:rRNA from 1 species
ACCAAUUCUAGCCCACACCCCCCUCCCCCUACUACCAUAAAUUAAUCAAAUAAAACAUUCACCAUACAUCUAAAGUAUAGGAGAUAGAAAUUUAAAUAUUGAUGGCGCUAUAGAAAUAGUACCGUAAGGGAAAGAUGAAAGAAUCAACCUAAAAGUAAUAAAAAGCAAAGCUUACCCCUUGUACCUUUUGCAUAAUGACUUAACUAGUAAUAACUUAGCAAAGAGACCUUAAGUUAAAUUACCCGAAACCAGACGAGCUACUUAUGAGCAGUACUUAGGACGAACUCAUCUAUGUGGCAAAAUAGUGAGAAGACUUAUAAGUAGAGGUGAAAAGCCCAACGAGCCUGGUGAUAGCUGGUUGUCCAUGAAAAGAAUCUCAGUUCAACGUUAAAUAAUACUAAAAGCCAGUGCCAAGCCUUAACGUAUAUUUAACCGUUAAUCUAAAAAGGUACAGCUUUUUAGAGAUGGGUACAACCUUGACUAGAGAGUAAAAUUAAACAUACACCAUAGUUGGCCUAAAAGCAGCCAUCAAUUAAGAAAGCGUUCAAGCUCGACAAUAAAACAAUGUUUUAAUUUCAAUAUUAAACAAAUCAACUCCUAGCCUGACUAUUGGACUAAUCUAUAUAAACAUAGAAGCAAUACUGUUAAUAUGAGUAACAAGAAAUUUUUUCUCCUAGCACAAGCUUAUAUUAGUAACUGAUAAUAUACUAAUAAUUAACAGCAAAUAAAUAAAACCCAACACUAAAUUAUUUAUUAAAAUACUGUUAACCCAACACAGGCGUGCAUUAAGGAAAGAUUAAAAAAAGUAAAAGGAACUCGGCAAACACAAACCCCGCCUGUUUACCAAAAACAUCACCUCUAGCAUAACCAGUAUUAGAGGCACUGCCUGCCCGGUGACUAACCGUUAAACGGCCGCGGUAUCCUGACCGUGCAAAGGUAGCAUAAUCACUUGUUCUCUAAUUAGGGACUUGUAUGAAUGGCCACACGAGGGUUUUACUGUCUCUUACUUUUAAUCAGUGAAAUUGACCUCCCCGUGAAGAGGCGGGGAUAACAAAAUAAGACGAGAAGACCCUAUGGAGCUUCAAUUAAUCAACCCAAAAAUCAUAACCUUAAACCACCAAGGGAUAACAAAAUUUUAUAUGGGCUGACAAUUUUGGUUGGGGUGACCUCGGAGUACAAAAAACCCUCCGAGUGAUUAAAACUUAGGCUCACUAGCCAAAGUAUAACAUCACUUAUUGAUCCAAUCUUUUGAUCAACGGAACAAGUUACCCUAGGGAUAACAGCGCAAUCCUAUUCUAGAGUUCAUAUCGACAAUAGGGUUUACGACCUCGAUGUUGGAUCAGGACAUCCUAAUGGUGCAGCUGCUAUUAAGGGUUCGUUUGUUCAACGAUUAAAGUCCUACGUGAUCUGAGUUCAGACCGGAGUAAUCCAGGUCGGUUUCUAUCUAUUACGCAUUUCUCCCAGUACGAAAGGACAAGAGAAAUAAGGCCAACUUCAAACAAGCGCCUUCAAAUAAUUAAUGACCUAGUCUCAAUUAAAUAAUUAAGCGCAAACAAACAUGCCCAAGACCAGGGCCCU